UACGUAGGGACCAAGCGUUGUCCGGAAUCAUUGGGCGUAAAGAGCGUGUAGGCGGCUUGUUAAGUCUUGCGUGAAAUCUCGGGGCUCAACCCCGAGCGGUCGUGAGAAACUGGCAGGCUAGAGUGCGGGAGAGGAGAGUGGAAUUCCUGGUGUAGCGGUGAAAUGCGCAGAUAUCAGGAAGAACACCCGUGGCGAAGGCGGCUCUCUGGGCCACUACUGACGCUGAGAAGCGAAAGCAUGGGGAGCGAACAGG
rnacentral:rRNA from 1 species